rnacentral:rRNA from 1 species
CUCACCANNACGAUGAUGCAUAGCCGAGUUGAGAGACUGAUCGGCCACAAUGGGACUGAGACACGGCCCAUACUCCUACGGGAGGCAGCAGUAGGGAAUCUUCCACAAUGGGCGAAAGCCUGAUGGAGCAACGCCGCGUGUGUGAUGAAGGNUUUCGGCUCGUAAAACACUGUUGUAAGAGAAGAAUGACAUUGAGAGUAACUGUUCAAUGUGUGACGGUAUCUUACCAGAAAGGAACGGCUAAAUACGUGCCAGCAGCCNNG